rnacentral:misc_RNA from 1 species
GCUGUUUUUUUUACUUACAGAGGAGGUCCUCUGCCUCCCAGCUCUUAAUGCCAUCAUCAAUAGCAAUUUUAUCCCUAAAUAUACAAAUGGAACCAUUUGAUUGAUCUUCACUGCUAUCAGAAUACUUUUACCCCAAUGUCAAUUUUGACAAGACCAACCGGCUGGAAACAGAACGGCCACACUAGCAAAUUGAAAUAACAAUCCAAAAAAAAAAAAGGAGAUCACCUUUGCUUUGCUUCUGAUGACAGUUUGGUCAUUGCUUAUAACUAGAACUGCCAACCUUGUUUGAUAAUGAAGACUUGUCCUUCAAACUGCUACUUAAAAUGGU